AGUGAACGCUGGCGGUAGGCCUAACACAUGCAAGUCGAACGGCAGCACAGUAAGAGCUUGCUCUUACGGGUGGCGAGUGGCGGACGGGUGAGGAAUACAUCGGAAUCUACUUUUUCGUGGGGGAUAACGUAGGGAAACUUACGCUAAUACCGCAUACGACCUACGGGUGAAGGCAGGGGAUCUUCGGACCUUGCGCGAUUGAAUGAGCCGAUGUCGGAUUAGCUAGUUGGCGGGGUAAAGGCCCACCAAGGCGACGAUCCGUAGCUGGUCUGAGAGGAUGAUCGGCCACACUGGAACUGAGACACGGUCCAGACUCCUACGGGAGGCAGCAGUGGGGAAUAUUGGACAAUGGGCGCAAGCCUGAUCCAGCCAUACCGCGUGGGUGAAGAAGGCCUUCGGGUUGUAAAGCCCUUUUGUUGGGAAAGAAAAGCAGCAGGUUAAUACCCCGCUGUUCUGACGGUACCCAAAGAAUAAGCACCGGCUAACUUCGUG
rnacentral:rRNA from 1 species